ensembl:lncRNA
CAGGGCUGUUCAUGGUACAUGCAAUGGUAAGUGCAUGGUAGCUAAAGGGGAAAGUUGUAACGCUGUAAUAAUAGUAGAACUUGGCAGUUUUAGUAAGUCCAUACUGUUCAAGUAGUGAUAGAAUUAUGCCUUUUAGGCCCAGGCUUAAGGUGAUUCUUUCUCUUGAGUAACAGGACUUGGAGAGCAUUUACUCCAUGGGCAUGAUUGGGUUCCUUGUUUGUAGAGGUUUGCUUCUGAGGAGACUAACAAAGUUGGCGUGCUCCUCUGAGAAGGCAGAUUGUAUAGGGUUCUAAUACAGCUGAUGAUAUGCAUAGGCCUUAGGUCAAGAUGAAAAAUUAAGUCUCCAGAGCAAUAUCCUUUAAGGGUUAAAAUCCUUUGGAAUCUAACAUAUUUUACGUGAAUAUUUUGAUUGUUUUCUUCAGAACAGAUUGGAACAACUGAAGGUACGUGGGUACAUAGCAUUUUUAUCUCAUGUGUCUUCUGAUUUUGUGGAGUUUUGGUUGCAGCUUGUUAACUUGGCCAAAAAUAUAUAUGGAGAAUGGUCUGUAUAUUCCAACAGCCCACAGUAGCUUGAGGAACAUCUUGUUUGGUGAACAAAGACCAACUUUGAUCGCACACUGAUAACAGGUAAUUCCAGUUUGAAUUUUCUAAACUCCCUGUUACAGGAUUUACUUUCCCUUUGGGAAAGUUGUUUCCUCCAGUUAUACCUAAGCUUUCUAGUUCCACUGCUGAAGCAGAUAACACAGCUAGCCACUAUUUUAUUUUGUUUUGCAUUGAAUUUCAGUUUUUGAGCUCUAUUGAUGUUUAAAUAGUAAUCAACACUUCUAUACUUAUAAUGCUUUAAACUGCAGUUUGCUUCUAUGUCAUCUUCCUUUUCUAAGGAGUCAUCAUGUGCCUCAUUUGCAGCAAUGCCUUUUAUUUGACAUCCACUUGUUGAUUUAUUGUGCUGUGUUUAACCUACUUGCUAGAAUUGUAUGAGGAAGAAGAAAUGAGCUGCCUCUCUGGGUAAUUAUCUCCUGAAUCUCAUGCUUCUCUACUUUUGGUAUCUCCCUCAAUGUGAAAAACAAUUCAGUAAAAAACAUUCUGUAGUGUAAUAGACAAGGAGAUCAAACCCGUUUUUUAUUUUCCUGAGAGCUCUUCUUUGCCCAUUCUCUUCCAAUUUUCCUUGCAGCAAUGUUACUUUUCCAUGUGGAACGUGUUCCCUCUGGAGGAAAAUGUCUGUGCUAAUGCACAAAAGUGGCCCAAAACAAUGCAAGCUGUAGAGCUGAUGAUGCAGUUUUGACUUAUUCCUGUAGAUUACUCCAGUAAGGAAUGGUUAUAAGGAACAUAACAAUUUCUUUUUAAUUCCAUGUCUCUUCAACAACAAGAUGAAAAAUUACUUCAGGACAUUUUGCAUUUUAUCUUCUGUUUUCCAGACAAUUCAUUGUUCAUCAUCAAUUAGUUAUGUUGAUAGCUUGUUUCUGGGAAUUUAAAUCAAGGAAUGUUCUUCUCUUGAGUGACAACAGUUGACCUGUUGAUAUCUGCAAAGAAAAGCUAGAGAAAAGGUAGCCGAAGGAAGAUAUUAGCAAGUCCCUACAAAAACAUCCAGGGGUGCCUUACAAAAGACAGUGAAAGGGAGUUU